rnacentral:rRNA from 1 species
UACGUAGGUGGCAAGCGUUGUCCGGAUUUACUGGGCGUAAAGAGCGCGCAGGCGGUCGUUCAAGUCGCGUGUGAAAGCCCCCGGCUCAACUGGGGAGGGUCACGCGAUACUGAUCGACUCGAAGGCAGGAGAGGGUAGUGGAAUUCCCGGUGUAGCGGUGAAAUGCGCAGAUAUCGGGAGGAACACCAGCGGCGAAGGCGGCACUCUGGGCUGGAACUGACGCUGAGGAGCGAAAGCGGUGGGUAGCA